rnacentral:rRNA from 1 species
CUACGGGUUGCUGCAGUGAGGAAUAUUGCACAAUGGGGGGAACCCUGAUGCAGCAACGCCGCGUGGAGGAUGACGCAUUUCGGUGUGUAAACUCCUUUUAUAUGUCAAGAAAAUGACGGUAGCAUAUGAAUAAGCACCGGCUAACUCCGUGCCAGCAGCCGCGGUAAUACGGAGGGUGGCAAGCGUUACUCGGAAUCACUGGGCGUAAAGGAAGCGUAGGCGGGUUGGAAAGUCAGGUGUGAAAUCCUACAGCUUAACUGUAGAACUGCACUUGAAACUUCUAAUCUAGAGUAUGGGAGGGGAGAUGGAAUUAGUGGUGUAGGGGUAAAAUCCGUAGAUAUCACUAGGAAUACCUAAAGCGAAGGCGAUCUCCUGGAACAUUAGUGACGCUAAGGCGUGAAAGCGUGGGGAGCAAACAGGAUUAGAUACCCUGGUAGUC